GACGAACGCUGGCGGCGUGCCUAAUACAUGCAAGUGGGACGCAAGGAAACACACUGUGCUUGCACACCGUGUUUUCUUGAGUCGCGAACGGGUGAGUAACGCGUAGGUAACCUGCCUAUUAGCGGGGGAUAACUAUUGGAAACGAUAGCUAAUACCGCAUAAUAUUAAUUAUUGCAUGAUAAUUGAUUGAAAGAUGCAAGCGCAUCACUAGUAGAUGGACCUGCGUUGUAUUAGCUAGUUGGUAAGGUAAGAGCUUACCAAGGCGACGUUACAUAGCCGACCUGAGAGGGUGAUCGGCCACACUGGGACGGAGACACGGCCCAGCCUCCUACGGGAGGCAGCAGUAGGGAAUCUUCGGCAAUGGACGAAAGUCUGACCGAGCAACGCCGCGUGAGUGAAGAAGGUUUUCGGAUCGUAAAGCUCUGUUGUAAGUCAAGAACGUGUGUGAGAGUGGAAAGUUCACACAGUGACGGUAGCUUACCAGAAAGGGACGGCUAACUACGUG
rnacentral:rRNA from 1 species